rnacentral:rRNA from 1 species
GACAGAGGAUGCAAGCGUUAUCCGGAAUGAUUGGGCGUAAAGCGUCUGUAGGUGGCUUUUUAAGUCUGCCGUCAAAUCCCAGGGCUUAACCCUGGACAGGCGGUGGAAACUACCAAGCUGGAGUACGGUAGGGGCAGGGGGAAUUUCCGGUGGAGCGGUGAAAUGCGUAGAGAUCGGAAAGAACACCAACGGCGAAAGCACACUGCUGGGCCGACACUGACACUGAGAGACGAAAGCUAGGGGAGCGAAUGGG